rnacentral:tRNA from 2 species
CAGGGUGUAGUUUAAUCAAAAUGUUGGCUUUGGGAGCCAGAGAUGCUAUAUUGGUCAGCCUGA